rnacentral:rRNA from 1 species
UACGGAGGGUGCAAGCGUUAUCCGGAUUCACUGGGUUUAAAGGGUGCGUAGGUGGGCUAGUAAGUCCGUGGUGAAAUCUCCAAGCUUAACUUGGAAACUGCCGUGGAUACUAUUAGUCUUGAAUAUUGUGGAGGUAAGCGGAAUAUGUCAUGUAGCGGUGAAAUGCUUAGAUAUGACAUAGAACACCGAUAGCGAAGGCAGCUUACUACACAAUUAUUGACACUGAGGCACGAAAGCGUGGGGAUCAAACAGG